AUUGAACGCUGGCGGCGUGCCUAGCACAUGCGAAGUCGAGCGGUAACAGGCGUAGCAAUACGUGCUGACGAGCGGCGGACGGGUGAGUAAUGCUUGGGAAUCUUCCCGGUAGUGGGGAACAACCAACCGAAGGUUGGCUAAUACCGCAUACGUUCUACGGAAGAAAGCGGGGGACCGUAAGGCCUCGCGCUAUCGGAUGAGCCCAAGUCGGAUUAGCUAGUUGGCGGGGUAAUGGCCCACCAAGGCGACAAUCCGUAGCUGGUCUGAGAGGACGACCAGCCACACUGGGACUGAGACACGGCCCAGACUCCGUACGGGAGGCAGCAGUGGGAAUCUUGGACAAUGGGCGCAAGCCUGAUCCAGCCAUGCCGCGUGGGUGAAGAA
rnacentral:rRNA from 1 species